UGGGGAAUUUUGGACAAUGGGCGAAAGCCUGAUCCAGCAAUGCCGCGUGUGUGAAGAAGGCCUUCGGGUUGUAAAGCACUUUUGUCCGGAAAGAAAUCCUUGGCUCUAAUACAGUCGGGGGAUGACGGUACCGGAAGAAUAAGCACCGGCUAACUACGUGCCGGCAGCCGCGGUAAUACGUAGGGUGCAAGCGUUAAUCGGAAUUACUGGGCGUAAAGCGUGCGCAGGCGGUUUGCUAAGACCGAUGUGAAAUCCCCGGGCUCAACCUGGGAACUGCAUUGGUGACUGGCAGGCUAGAGUAUGGCAGAGGGGGGUAGAAUUCCACGUGUAGCAGUGAAAUGCGUAGAGAUGUGGAGGAAUACCGAUGGCGAAGGCAGCCCCCUGGGCCAAUACUGACGCUCAUGCACGAAAGCGUGGGGAGCAAACAGGAUUAGAUACCCUGGUAGUCCACGCCCUAAACGAUGUCAACUAGUUGUUGGGGAUUCAUUUCCUUAGUAACGUAGCUAACGCGUGAAGUUGACCGCCUGGGGAGUACGGUCGCAAGAUUAAAACUCAAAGGAAUUGACGGGGUCAUAGCUGUUUCCU
rnacentral:rRNA from 1 species